AACGAACGCUGGCGGCAUGCCUAACACAUGCAAGUCGAACGAGACCUUCGGGUCUAGUGGCGCACGGGUGCGUAACGCGUGGGAACCUGCCCUUAGGUUCGGAAUAACUCCCCGAAAGGGGUGCUAAUACCGGAUAAUGUCUUCGGACCAAAGAUUUAUCGCCUUUGGAUGGGCCCGCGUUGGAUUAGCUAGUUGGUAGGGUAAAAGCCUACCAAGGCGACGAUCCAUAGAUGGUCUGAGAGGAUGAUCAGCCACACUGGGACUGAGACACGGCCCAGACUACUACGGGAGGCAGCAGUGGGGAAUAUUGGAAAAUGGGCGAAAGCAUGAUCCAGCAAUGCCGCGUGAGUGAUGAAGGCCUUAGGGUUGUAAAGCUCUUUUAACCGGGAUGAUAAUGACAGUACCGGGAGAAUAAGCUCCGGCUAACUCCGUG
rnacentral:rRNA from 1 species